AACAACGUAUAUAACAUGUCUGAACUAUGAAUUAUUUUGAACCGACAACUCAACAUUUGAAUAUUUUAAUCUUACUAUCCAACUUUUUAAUUUGUUUGAUUUGAGUCAGUAAAAUUUAGGCUAAUUUUACAAACUAAUUGUUUAUUUUAAUAAAUUUAUAGUCACGCUAAUUGCAUAAAGCAUAUUACCUAAACUUGUAUCAAUAAAUAUCGCAUUCAAACUUUGAAAU
rnacentral:lncRNA from 1 species